rnacentral:rRNA from 1 species
UACGUAGGGUGCGAGCGUUAAUCGGAAUUACUGGGCGUAAAGCGUGCGCAGGCGGUUUUGCAAGCCGGAUGUGAAAUCCCCGGGCUCAACCUGGGAAUGGCAUUUGGGACUGCAAGGCUCGAGUGCGGCAGAGGAGACUGGAAUUCCUGGUGUAGCAGUGGAAUGCGCAGAUAUCAGGAGGAACACCAAUGGCGAAGGCAGAUCUCUGGGCCGUAACUGACGCUGAGGAGCGAAAGCAUGGGGAGCGAACAGG